CGGGGCGGGGGCGGGCGGGUCCCGGCCCCGCUGCUCGGUGCGCGGCGGCGGCACCGGGAGCGGCGGCGGGGGCUGGGGCGCGUCGGCCCCGCAGCUGCGGCUCGUUGCGCUCCGCUCGGCCCCGCUCCCCCCGGCCCGGCCCCAUAACAGCGGCGCCGUCGUCCCGGGACGCCGCAUGUGAACCAGGAGGGCAACGCCGCCCCGCACCGCCCCCGCGCACCGGCACCGCACCGGCACCCCCGGCCCGGCCCCGCGGAGCUCCGGAGCAGCCGGCACCACCUCCCCACCCCCCCAUCCACCCCACCAUGAGCAACCUCAACAAGGACACCGAGCACACCAACGGCGGCGGCAACGUCGAGGAGGAGGUACGGACGCUGUUUGUCAGUGGCCUUCCUGUGGAUAUCAAGCCCAGAGAGCUCUACCUACUCUUCCGACCAUUCAAGGGUUAUGAAGGGUCACUGAUCAAGCUCACUUCAAAGCAGCCAGUUGGUUUUGUGACCUUUGACAGCCGGGCUGGUGCUGAAGCAGCGAAGAACGCCUUGAAUGGCAUCCGCUUCGACCCAGAGAACCCACAGACCUUGCGGUUAGAGUUUGCUAAAGCCAACACAAAGAUGGCCAAGAGCAAGCUGAUGGCCACGCCAAACCCCACCAAUAUCCACCCUGCCUUGGGCGCACACUUCAUUGCACGGGACCCCUAUGACCUGACUGGAGCAGCUCUUAUUCCAGCGUCCCCAGAGGCGUGGGCUCCCUACCCACUCUACACCACGGAGCUAACCCCUGCCAUCCCCCAUGCUGCCUUCACCUACCCGGCAGCCGCUGCUGCAGCUGCUGCUCUUCACGCUCAGUGAACUCCAGCCAUGAUGCCAGCGCAGGCUAGCCCUGAAGCUCAGAGCUGUCCCUGGAGAUGGGACACCCUAGUGAUGCCUUAUUGCAGCUAGUGGAGUGGCUGUACUACAGCUCCAUUCCUAGAAGUGUUAAGCAUGAUGGCAGCCACGUCUGGAAAGACUGAUGCGCUGGUAUCCUCCCUCCGAAGCUACCCAGCAAGGAUGGAAGUCUCGUCAGUUUUGUUAGUUUGUUAGUAACGUCUCUCCUCGGCUUGUGUUCCUCCUCCCUGCCUCUACGCGGAGGGAUGUGCCAGGGACGAUUGCUCAGACCCCUCUUGGUUCGGUUUGCGGCCAGUGGACAAGGCGCCUGGCCCCGCCGCGCUCCCCCCUCCCCGGGACUGCCAGCAUCCCCCCUCCCUGGACUGUGAAGCCGCCGCGACCCCCCGCUGCGGGCCGUGCGCCGCCUCCAUCCACCCAUCCAUCUCUCCCUCCAUCCCAGGACAUCCUCCCCGACUGAGCUUCGCCAUCCCUCUGUGCCGAAGCCCAGCCGGGGGGCAGAGGGGCUCGGUCCUGGGCUUCCCUGGGCUUGCCCUGCCCCGGCAGCUCGGCUGAAGGAAACGAAAGGCAAUGGGUUUUGCAUGUUUUCUGGCAUGAAUUAAAACACUUAACUUGUGUAUGUGUGAGUGUAAGUUUGUUUGUUCUAGCGUUUGUGUAACCGUUAGCAACAGGUCUUGGCCCAACGGAUUGAUCCAUCAAGGUUUUCAUCUUGCUUUGGUGAAGACUUGGCUUUGAGAAAUACUAACUGUCCUUGUCUCACCCCUUCUCCCACCUCCGCCCUCCCCUUCCCAGGAUGACCAGAAAAAUUUGAAAAAUGUUUCUUUUUUUUUUUUUUGCCUCUUCUUUUUUUUUUCUUUUUUUUUUUCUUCCCCCUCCAAGUACGAUGCACUGGGUUUCUGUUCUCAUCCAUUCUUCUUCUCUGGUUUUAAAGUCAGGGUUAUUAUAUUAUUUUUUUUUUCCUCAGACUUCUAUAUAUAGAAUGGCUGUAAAAUAUCUAACCUCUUUUUUUUUUUUUUUUUUUUUUUUUU